rnacentral:piRNA from 1 species
UGUCACGAUGAUAAUGGCUUACCUCUGA